rnacentral:rRNA from 1 species
GAAGGCGACUUUNUGGACGAAAACUGACGCUGAGGCGCGAAAGCCAGGGGAGCGAACGGGAUUAGAUACCCCGGUAGUCCUGNCCGUAAACGAUGGGUACUAGGUGUAGGAGGUAUCGACCCNUUCUGUGCCGGAGUUAACGCAAUAAGUACCCCGCCUGGGGAGUACGACCGCAAGGUUGAAACUCAAAGGAAUUGACGGGGGCCCGCACAAGCGGUGGAGUAUGUGGUUUAAUUCGACGCAACGCGAAGAACCUUACCAGGUCUUGACAUUGAUGGACAGAACCAGAGAUGGUUCCUCUUCUUCGGAAGCCAGAAAACAGGUGGUGCGCGGUUGUCGUCAGCUCGUGUCGUGAGAUGUUGGGUUAAGUCCCGCAACGAGCGCAACCCCUAUCUUAUGUUGCCAGCACGUGAUGGUGGGAACUCAUGAGAGACUGCCGCAGACAAUGCGGAGGAAGGCGGGGAUGACGUCAAAUCAUCAUGCCCCUUAUGACCUGGGCUACACACGUACUACAAUGGGAGUUAAUAGACGGAAGCGAGAUCGCGAGAUGGAGCAAACCCGAGAAACACUCUCUCAGUUCGGAUCGUAGGCUGCAACUCGCCUACGUGAAGUCGGAAUCGCUAGUAAUCGCAGGUCAGCAUACUGCGGUGAAUACGUUCCCGGGCCUUGUACACACCGCCCGUCACACCACGAAAGUCGGAAGUGCCCAAAGCCGGUGGGGUAACCUUCGGGAGCCANCCGU